rnacentral:rRNA from 1 species
UACGGAGGGUGCGAGCGUUACCCGGAUUUACUGGGUGUAAAGGGCGUGUAGGCGGAAACUUAAGUCCGAUGCUAAAGACCGAAGCUCAACUUCGGGAGUGCGUUGGAUACUGGGUUUCUAGACGGUCGGAGAGGGUAGCGGAAUGGUCAGAGUAGCGGUGAAAUGCGCAGAUACUGAUCGGAACGCCAAUAGCGAAAGCAGCUACCUGGACGACUUGUGACGCUGAGGCGCGAAAGCGUGGGGAGCAAACCGG